UUGAUCCUGGCUCAGAACGAACGCUGGCGGCGCGUUUUAAGCAUGCAAGUCGAGCGGCAGCAGCAAUGCGAGAGCGGCGGACGGGUGAGUAACACGUGGGUAAUCUGCCCUCCGGUCGAGAAUAGCCUGUGGAAACACAGGAUAAUACCGGAUGCGAUGGCCACCACACAAGUGGAGGUCAGGAAAGGAGCCAAGGCUCCGCCGGAGGAUGAGCCCGCGUCCCCAUUAGCUUGAUGGUGAGGUAAAGGCCCACCAUGGCGAUGAUGGGUAGCCGGCCUGAGAGGGUGAACGGCCACAUUGGAACUGAGACACGGUCCAGACUCCUACGGGAGGCAGCAGCUAAGAAUCUUCCACAAUGGACGAAAGUCUGAUGGAGCGACGCCGCGUGGGCGAUGAAGGCCGUGAGGUUGUAAAGCCCUUUUCUUGAGGGGGAAUAAGUCCGGCAGGGAAUGGCCGGAUGAUGACGUGAAUCAAGGAAUAAGCCCCGGCUAACUACGUGCCAGCAGCCGCGGUAACACGUAGGGGGCGAGCGUUGUUCGGAAUCAUUGGGCGUAAAGGGCGCGCAGGCGGCCGCGUAAGUCUGGUGUAAAAUGGUUGUGCUCAACACAAUCAUGCGCUGGAAACUGCGGGGCUUGAGUCAACGAGGGGAUGCCGGAAUUCCAGGUGUAGGGGUGAAAUCUGUAGAUAUCUGGAAGAACACCAGUGGCGAAGGCAGGCAUCUGGCGACUGACUGACGCUGAGGCGCGAAGGUGCGGGGAGCAAACAGGUUUAGAUACCCUGGUAGUCCGCACAGUAAACGAUGUGCACCAGGUGGCGGGCAGCAGUGCUCGGUACCGAAGCAAACGCAUUAAGUGCACCGCCUGGGGAGUAUGCCCGCAAGGGUGAAACUCAAAGGAAUUGACGGGGGCCCGCACAAGCGGUGGAGCAUGUGGUUUAAUUCGACGAUACGCGAGAAACCUUACCAGGGCUUGACAUACACCGGGAUAUGGCGGAAACGUCAUAGCUGCUUGCAGCCGGUGUAA
rnacentral:rRNA from 1 species